ensembl:snRNA U6 U6 spliceosomal RNA
GUGCUCACUUCAGCAGCACAUAUACUAAAAUUGGAACAAUACAGAGGAGAUUACCAUGGCCCCUGCACAAGGAUGACAUGGAAAUUCAUGAAACGUUCCAUAUUUUG